GGGCCCAUGGCGCAGCGGUUAGCGCAGGCGACUCAUAAUCGCUUGGUCGCAGGUUCGAAUCCUGCUGGGCCCACCU
rnacentral:tRNA from 1 species